rnacentral:lncRNA from 1 species
AAAGUAAUAAUUUUAUUCAGUCAGUAAAAAUGACAAACACUUGGAAGACUAUUCACAGCUAUGAAGAAAUACAUAAAUUCUCCAAUUUGUAAACAAAAAAACAACCAGUCAAGAUACUCAAAGAACUAAAAAAGCCAAUACAAAUUGAAACUAACUACAAUACUUAAAUAUAUAAUUUCUUGAAUUUGUAAACACCAUACCUCCUCAUGCUGAAAAAGGUAGCUGCACUUGCAAGAAAUUCCAAAACUAUCAUGUCUACCCCCUUGGCUAAUUCUUGUAUUUCUAUACUCACUCUGGGCUUGAUAGACUUAGCAUGAUACUUUGAUUUUUUAGGAUUGACUUGGCAUGGUUCGUGGUCCAAUCCUUAUUGGAAUUAUUAAAUUCUUUUCCAUGGUUACGGUGGCGAUUAUGAGAAUUUUUUUCUGUUUUAAAAUAAUUUUUAUAAGUUUUAUAAAUGGGUGCAUGAAGUAAGAUAAAAAUUAUAAUAAGGGUAAAUUAGGAAUUAAGUGGGGUAUAUUAAGAGAUAAAAAUUAAUUUAAAAUUAUUAAUGGGGUUAAUUGAAAAGUGGGGGUUUGUGAGAUAUAAUUAGGGGGUUAAAUAUCACCACUCUUCUCACACUCUAAGUUUUUAAAACAAAUAAAAAGAGAUGGGCUUUGCAAACUUAUUAACACUAAGAGGGGAUACAGAGCCACUGGUUGAAUGUAGUACCCAACUACCCAUUGUUACAAUAUUUGGAGUAAGAGCUACGAAAAUCAGUUUAUUUGUGCUAUUAGAUAUCAUGUCGAUGUUUUAAUUGCCUGGUUUUCUCAAAUCCUUAAAACUGAUUGUUAUUAGAAAAGAAUUAAUGGGGAAAGGAAAGUCAUGAAAAGUUCUUCUGUUGUGUUAACUGAAGCCAUGCAGCUGUUGCUUUGGAGAAGUUUGUACUAUCUGCUGAGUAUUUCAUUAAGAGGAAGUUAUAUUCAGUUUUUUUUUUUUAGAAAAGCUAUAUCCAGAUGUUGAUAUAGGAAUAAAUAAGAUUUAAUUAGUUUUUACUUUUGUUAUUUCUUGCAAGUGUAAAUAGGUUAAAAAACUGUUAAAUAUGUGAUAUGAGCAAGGAAAUUACAAUCAGAAGGGUUACUUGAGAGUUACAAUAGCUACUUUUGAACCUAAUUCUACUUUGAUAGAUUCAUAAUGCAUGCUUAUUUAAGAAAUUUGGCCACUUUGGUGGUCAAAAUCUACUCGGCAGUUGCAAAACUUCAUAAAUUGUAUAUAGAACAAAAAAAACAGUAAUGAUCAUUUUUAUAGAGAACGAAAGUAAUAAUUUUAUUCAGUCAGUAAAAAUGACAAACACUUGGAAGACUAUUCACAGCUAUGAAGAAAUACAUAAAUUCUCCAAUUUGUAAACAAAAAAACAACCAGUCAAGAUACUCAAAGAACUAAAAAAGCCAAUACAAAUUGAAACUAACUACAAUACUUAAAUAUAUAAUUUCUUGAAUUUGUAAACACCAUACCUCCUCAUGCUGAAAAAGGUAGCUGCACUUGCAAGAAAUUCCAAAACUAUCAUGUCUACCCCCUUGGCUAAUUCUUGUAUUUCUAUACUCACUCUGGGCUUGAUAGACUUAGCAUGAUACUUUGAUUUUUUAGGAUUGACUUGGCAUGGUUCGUGGUCCAAUCCUUAUUGGAAUUAUUAAAUUCUUUUCCAUGGUUACGGUGGCGAUUAUGAGAAUUUUUUUCUGUUUUAAAAUAAUUUUUAUAAGUUUUAUAAAUGGGUGCAUGAAGUAAGAUAAAAAUUAUAAUAAGGGUAAAUUAGGAAUUAAGUGGGGUAUAUUAAGAGAUAAAAAUUAAUUUAAAAUUAUUAAUGGGGUUAAUUGAAAAGUGGGGGUUUGUGAGAUAUAAUUAGGGGGUUAAAUAUCAC